rnacentral:rRNA from 1 species
UACGUAGGGGGCGAGCGUUGCUCGGAAUUACUGGGCGUAAAGGGAGCGUAGGCGGAUAGUUUAGUCAGAGGUGAAAGCCCAGGGCUCAACCUUGGAAUUGCCUUUGAUACUGGGACGCUUGAGUAUGGUAGAGGUUGGUGGAACUGCGAGUGUAGAGGUGAAAUUCGUAGAUAUUCGCAAGAACACCGGUGGCGAAGGCGGGUCUCUGGGCAGUAACUGACGCUGAGGUGCGAAAGCGUGGGGAGCAAACAGG